CCAAUAGCGUAUAUUAAAGUUGUUGCAGUUAAAAAGCUCGUAGUUGAAUUUCGGGAUCAAUAUGUCGGUCGUGCCUUCGGUACGUACUGGCAUCAUUGGUUUCUCCCUUCUGACAAACCAUGAUGUCAUUAACUUGGUGUCAUGGGAAAUCAGGACUGUUACUUUGAAAAAAUUAGAGUGUUUAAAGCAGGCUCACGCUUGAAUACAUUAGCAUGGAAUAAUGAAAUAGGACGUUCGAUCCUAUUUUGUUGGUUUCUAGGAUUGACGUAAUGAUUAAUAGGGAUAGUUGGGGGCAUUAGUAUUCAAUUGUCAGAGGUGAAAUUCUUGGAUUUAUUGAAGACUAACUACUGCGAAAGCAUUUGCCAAGGAUGUUUUCAUUAAUCAAGAACGAAAGUUAGGGGAUCGAAGACGAUCAGAUACCGUCGUAGUCUUAACCAUAAACUAUGCCGACUAGGGAUCGGAUGAUGUUAAUUUUUUAAUGACUCAUUCGGCGCCUUACG
rnacentral:rRNA from 1 species